UACGGAGGGUGCAAGCGUUAAUCGGAAUUACUGGGCGUAAAGCGCACGCAGGUGGCUGAGAAAGUCGAUUGUGGAAGCCCUGGGCUUAACCUGGGAAUUGCAGUCGAAACUACUCGGCUAGAGUAUGGGAGAGGACAGUGGAAUUCCCGGUGUAGCGGUGAAAUGCGUAGAUAUCGGGAGGAACAUCAGUGGCGAAGGCGGCCAUCUGGAUCAACACUGACGCUGAGGCACGAAAGCGUGGGGAGCAAACAGG
rnacentral:rRNA from 1 species